rnacentral:rRNA from 1 species
GUGGGGAAUCUUGCGCAAUGGGCGAAAGCCUGACGCAGCCAUGCCGCGUGGAUGAUGAAGGUCUUAGGAUUGUAAAAUCCUUUCACCGGUGAAGAUAAUGACUGUAGCCGGAGAAGAAGCUCCGGCUAACUUCGUGCCAGCAGCCGCGGUAAUACGAAGGGGGCUAGCGUUGCUCGGAAUUACUGGGCGUAAAGGGCGCGUAGGCGGACAGCUUAGUCAGAGGUGAAAGCCCAGGGCUCAACCUUGGAAUUGCCUUUGAUACUGGCUGUCUUGAGUUUGGGAGAGGUGAGUGGAACUCCGAGUGUAGAGGUGAAAUUCGUAGAUAUUCGGAAGAACACCAGUGGCGAAGGCGACUCACUGGCCCAAUACUGACGCUGAGGCGCGAAAGCGUGGGGAGCAAACAGGAUUAGAUACCCGGGUAGUCC